rnacentral:tRNA from 1 species
GGCAGAUUAGUGCAAUGAAUUUAAGAUUCAUAUAUAAAUAUAAUUAUUUUUCUAGA